rnacentral:rRNA from 1 species
CCCUUAGAUGUUCUGGGCCGCACGCGCGCUACACUGACGGAGGCAGCGAGCGUGUCCUUCGCCGGCAGGUGCGGGCAAUCUUGCGAGUCUCCGUCGUGCUGGGGAUAGAUGGUUGCAAUCGUCGAUCUUGAACGAGGAAUUCCUAGUAAGCGCGAGUCAUCAGCUCGCGCUGAUUACGUCCCUGCCCUUUGUACACACCGCCCGUCGCUACUACAGAGUGCCCGUGUCCAAGAAACGGUCGGACCUGUGCGGCCUCUCCGGGCGACCGGAGGGCCGUUACGGGGAAGACCCUUUAUUUGACGCGGGUCGAUGAAGUAAAAGUCGUAACA